rnacentral:lncRNA from 1 species
CCUGACUCCUCUCUCUGAGCCCAUCUUGCCUGGACAGUCAGCCUCCAUCUCCUGCAGGUCCAGUUAGAGCAUCCUACAUAGUAAUGGAAACACAUAUUUGAACUUGGUUGUGCACAAGCCAGGCCAGGCUCCACAGGGCCUAAUAUAUGGGGUUUCCAAGCAGUUCACUGGGGUCCCAGACAGGUUCAGUGGCAGUGGGUCAGAAACAGAUUUCACACUGACAAUCAGCAGGGUGGAGCCUGACAAUGCUGGAAUAUAUUACUGCUAGCAAGGUACACAUUAUCCUCCCACAGUGGUGCAGCCCCAAACAAAAACCUCCCUGCCUGGGUGGCUCUGCUGCCACAUGAGCUGCUGGACUGGGCAGCAGCACAGCAGAUUUUCUGCCCUGUGAGAGGAAGGUGCUGGGAACUCAGGGAACAAGUGCAGCUGAGUGCUAUGGACCAUGACUGCCUGGGCCACAGCUCAGGAUACACCCAUGAGUGGCCCUGUCAGCUGCAGCAGCCUGGCCUCGCAUGUGGAGGUCAACACAGAGGUGUCCAGAGACCCUGUGAAUGAGCAGACAGGAUGAGCGUGGACACUGCAGAGGGAGCAGGACCUGGGCCCUUGGCAGGACUUGGCCAAGUUAGUGAAGAGAUGAAGUGAAAUGCUAGAGGUCCCUCCAAAUGCUGCUCCAUGUGAAAUUCAGAUUCAAACCUAAUAAAACAAACAAACAAAUGAAACAGAAAAAUGACUUUGCCUGCAAUAACUAAUAAAACGAACUUCAUGAAAUUGACUUAUUAA